GAUGAAGAACGCAGCGAAAUGCGAUACGUAAUGUGAAUUGCAGAAUUCAGUGAAUCAUCGAGUCUUUGAACGCACAUUGCGCCCCCUGGUAUUCCGGGGGGCAUGCCUGUCCGAGCGUCAUUGCUGCCCUCAAGCACGGCUUGUGUGUUGGGCCUCCGUCCUCCUCCCGGGGGACGGGCCCGAAAGGCAGCGGCGGCACCGCGUCCGGUCCUCGAGCGUAUGGGGCUUCGUCACCCGCUCUUGUAGGCCCGGCCGGCGCUUGCCGACACAUCAAUCUUUUUUCCAGGUUGACCUCGGAUCAGGUAGGGAUACCCGCUGAACUUAAGCAUAUCAUUAAGCGGAGGA
rnacentral:misc_RNA from 1 species